UACGGAGGAUGCAAGCGUUAUCCGGAUUCAUUGGGUUUAAAGGGUGCGUAGGUUGUUUGAUAAGUCAGUGGUGAAAGUCUGUCGCUUAACGGUAGGAUUGCCAUUGAUACUGUUGGACUUGAAUAUGGAUGAGGUAGGCGGAAUGUGUAGUGUAGCGGUGAAAUGCAUAGAUAUUACACAGAACACCGAUUGCGAAGGCAGCUUACUAAUCCAUCAUUGACGCUGAGGCACGAAAGCGUGGGGAUCAAACAGGAUUA
rnacentral:rRNA from 1 species